ensembl:snRNA U6 U6 spliceosomal RNA
GCACUUGCCUCUGCAGCACAUGCCCUAAAAUUGGAAUUAUGCAGAGGUGAGCAUGACCCCUGUGCAAGGGUGGCACGAACAUGUGUACUGCUUUCCAUAGUUUU